AACGAACGCUGGCGGCAUGCCUAACACAUGCAAGUCGAACGAGACCUUCGGGUCUAGUGGCGCACGGGUGCGUAACGCGUGGGAACCUGCCCUUAGGUUCGGAAUAACUCCCCGAAAGGGGUGCUAAUACCGGAUAAUGUCUUCGGACCAAAGAUUUAUCGCCUUUGGAUGGGCCCGCGUUGGAUUAGCUAGUUGGUAGGGUAAAAGCCUACCAAGGCGACGAUCCAUAGCUGGUCUGAGAGGAUGAUCAGCCACACUGGGACUGAGACACGGCCCAGACUCCUACGGGAGGCAGCAGUGGAGAAUAUUAGACAAUGGGCGAAAGCCUGAUCCAGCAAUGCCGCGUGAGUGAUGAAGGCCUUAGGGUUGUAAAGCUCUUUUACCCGGGAUGAUAAUGACAGUACCGGGAGAAUAAGCUCCGGCUAACUCCGUG
rnacentral:rRNA from 1 species